rnacentral:rRNA from 1 species
GAUGAACGCUAGCGGCAGGCUUAACACAUGCAAGUCGAGGGGCAGCAUCGGGUAGUAAUACUCGGAUGGCGACCGGCGCACGGGUGCGUAACGCGUAUGCAACCUACCCUUCAUUGGUGCAUAACCCGGAGAAAUCCGGACUAAUUCACCGUAUUCCAUUAUCGGGCAUCCGAUUUUGGUAAAAGAUUUAUCGUUGGAGGAUGGGCAUGCGUGACAUUAGGUAGUUGGUGAGGUAACGGCUCACCAAGCCCGCGAUGUCUAGGGGAACUGAGAGGUUUAUCCCCCACACUGGUACUGAGACACGGACCAGACUCCUACGGGAGGCAGCAGUGAGGAAUAUUGGUCAAUGGACGGAAGUCUGAACCAGCCAUGCCGCGUGCAGGAUGACGGCCCUCGGGUUGUAAACUGCUUUUGUACAGAACGAAAAGGUUUCUACUAAUACUAGGAGCUCAUGACGGUACUGUAAGAAUAAGCACCGGCUAACUACGUGCCAGCAGCCGCGGUAA